UACAGAGGGGGCAAGCGUUAUUCGGAAUUAUUGGGCGUAAAGGGCGCGUAGGCGGCCUGACAAGUGGAAGGUGAAAUCCCUCGGCUCAACUGAGGAACUGCCCUCCAAACUGUUGGUCUUGAGACCGGGAGAGGUGAGUGGAAUUCCCAGUGUAGCGGUGAAAUGCGUAGAUAUUGGGAGGAACACCAGUGGCGAAGGCGGCUCACUGGACCGGAACUGACGCUGAGGCGCGAAAGCGUGGGAGCAACGGG
rnacentral:rRNA from 1 species